rnacentral:miRNA from 2 species
AUCGUAUCCUCAAGUAAGUCUCGA